rnacentral:lncRNA from 1 species
CAUUAGGUGUCACCAAAGUGUUAACAAUUCCUUGGGAAUUUAUAAACAAAAAAUAUCUAGACUAAAAAUAGAAUAUAAGGCCCCUCUGGAACCACUGCACACCUUUCCCUCUGUUCUCAGAUUAAACUGCUGCAUAAAAUGAGGUUAUUUAGCCUGUUUUUAAGGAAGGCUUCUAUUGCACAUGCAUCUCUUUGGUUGGUAAUAACAUGUACUUUUGUUAAAAUAUUUCCAUAAUGAAGCCCUGUUGUGUGGUUAGCUGGGUGUGGACUUUCCUCCCUUUCUUGGGGGCCCUCCUACUCACAGUCAAGUUGCCCUUUAGAACUAAAGAUCUGGUAGGAUUGGGUCUUUAUUCAAUAGCCC